UCUUAACCGCGGCUUGUGUACUGCAUCAUCACUGUGUCUGUCACGCGACUCUGUUGCCCUUUCGGGUUUGAACUGGUGGUAAAACUAAUGGCAUUAUUAACUGUCUUGAUAUUUACUUUGAAAGCUUGAAGCUCGCGAUUAUGGUUAUGGUUAUUUGC